GACGAACGCUGGCGGCGUGCCUAAUACAUGCAAGUCGAACGCUGAAGAGAGUAUCUUGCUCUUCUUGGAUGAGUUGCGAACGGGUGAGUAACGCGUAGGUUACCUGCCUUUUAGCGGUGGAUAACUAUUGGUAACGAUAGCUCAUACCGCAUAACAAUGGUUGACCCAUGUCAUUUAUUUGAAAGGGGCAAAUGCUCCACUACAAGAUGGACCUGCGUUGUAUUAGCUAGUAGGGGGGGUAACGGCUCACCUAGGCGACGAUCCAUAGCCGAACGGAGAGGGGGAUAGGCCACACUGGGACGGGGACACGGCCAGGACGACUAAGGGAGGGAGCAGUAGGGAAUGGGAGGCAAUGGGGGCAAACAUGGCAGAGCAACGGGGCGUGAGAGAAGAAGGGUUUCGGAUCGGAAAGCCCUGUUGUAAGUUAAGAACGAGUGUGGGAGAGGAAAGUUCACAGUGUGACGGUAGCGGAUCAGAAAGGGACGGCUAACUACGUG
rnacentral:rRNA from 1 species